GUAGGUGGCAAGCGUUGUCCGGAAUUAUUGGGGCGUAAAGCGCGCGCAGGUGGUUCUUUAAGUCUGAUGUGAAAGCCCCCCGGGCUCAACCGGGGAGGGUCAUUGGAAACUGGGGGAACUUGAGUGCAGGAGAGGAAAGUGGAAUUCCACGUGUAGCGGUGAAAUGCGUAGAUAUGUGGAGGAACACCAGUGGCGGAGGCGACUUUCUGGCCUGUAACUGACACUGAGGCGCGAAAGCGUGGGGAGCAAACAGGAUUAGAUACCCUGGUAGUCCACGCCGUAAACGAUGAGUGCUAAGUGUUGGGGGGUUUCCGCCCCUCAGUGCUGCAGCUAACGCAUUAAGCACUCCGCCUGGGGAGUACGGUCGCAAAGACUG
rnacentral:rRNA from 1 species